AUUGAACGCUAGCGGUAGGCCUAACACAUGCAAGUCGAGCGAGCGGCGGACGGGGGAGAAAUGUAUGGGAAUUGGCCCGUUAGAGGGGGAUAACUACUGGAAAGGGUGGCUAAUACCGCAUACUAUUGGAGGAACCCAUAUGGGAUUAGCUAGUAGGUGGGGUAAAGGCUCACCCGGGCAACGAUCCCGAGCGGGUGUGAGAGGAUGAUCAGCCACACUGGUACUGAGACACGGCCCAGACUCCUACGGGAGGCAGCAGUGGGGGAGUGUGCACAAUGGGGGAAAGCCUGAGGCAGCCAUGCCGCGUGUAUGAAGAAGGCCUGAGAGUUGUAAAGUACUUUCGGCGGAGAGGCGUUGCCCGCAGAAUAAGCACCGGCUAACUCCGUGCCAGCCGCCGCGGUAAUUC
rnacentral:rRNA from 1 species